rnacentral:rRNA from 1 species
GACGAACGCUGGCGGCGUGCCUAAUACAUGCAAGUAGAACGCACAGUUUAUACCGUAGCUUGCUACACCAUAGACUGUGAGUUGCGAACGGGUGAGUAACGCGUAGGUAACCUGCCUGGUAGCGGGGGAUAACUAUUGGAAACGAUAGCUAAUACCGCAUAAUAUUAAUUAUUGCAUGAUAAUUAAUUGAAAGGUGCAAUUGCACCACUACCAGAUGGACCUGCGUUGUAUUAGCUAGUAGGUGAGGUAACGGCUCACCUAGGCGACGAUACAUAGCCGACCUGAGAGGGUGGUCGGCCACACUGGGACUGGGACACGGCCCAGACUCCUACGGGAGGCAGCAGUAGGGAAUCUUCGGCAAUGGACGAAAGUCUGACCGAGCAACGCCGCGUGAGUGAAGAAGGUUGUCGGAUCGUAAAGCUCUGUUGUAAGAGAAGAACGGGUGUGAGAGUGGAAAGUUCACACUGUGACGGUAUCUGACCAGAAAGGGACGGCUAACUACGUG